rnacentral:rRNA from 1 species
GACGAACCGUACGAACGUUAUUCGGAAUUACUGGGCUUAAAGGGUGCGUAGGCUGCGCGGAAAGUUGGGUGUGAAAUCCCUCGGCUCAACCGAGGAACUGCGCCCAAAACUACCGUGCUCGAGGGAGACAGAGGUGAGCGGAACUUAGGGUGGAGUGGUGAAAUGCGUUGAUAUCCUAAGGAACACCCGUGGCGAAAGCGGCUCACUGGGUCUCUUCUGACGCUGAGGCACGAAAGCUAGGGUAGCGAACGGG